AUGACUGGCCUUUGUUUCAGCAUGAUGUUUGCUCUGAUUUUUGUACCUAUGACAUGUAUUCUGAUGCUUAAGAGGUUGAAAAUAUCAUGCUGGUCCAGUGUACCAAAUCCAAGAAAGAGCAGUGCAAUCCAAGAAAUGGCAAGUACAAUUCCAUCGUGUGAAAAAAAAAUGUACUCGGAAAAUCUUGCCUGCUUAUUAGUCACUAGCACUAGCUGUUACUGUUUUCACACUUCAUCCUAACAUAAAUCUCAUUUCAGCAGCUGAGUAGCAUCAGAAACACACAACUGGGAAGGUUAUUGUUUAGGCAGAGACUGUACACAUCUUUUAGCUUAAUGAAGGUUCACAGACUCCCUUUGAAAACACUGUAGAGCAUAUUUAAAUGACUUGUUGUUAAAAGAACAAGUCUUUCCUCUUGUACAUAUCAGUUUAUCUCCCAAGUCUCAGGCUGCUAACUAUUAUCGUUUUGGAACAUGAACUUGUACUGUUUCCUUUUAAAAUCAUUUUGAUUUUCCUGGCAGACCUGAACAAAGUUUGGCACUUGUCUAGGUUCUCGGGCCAAAACUGCAUGCUAUAGCAAAGCAGACUUGCGUCUAUUUUGGACAAUAAGCCUAAAUCAAGUGAAAUACAUAUUUCUUGAUGUAUCCUGAUGGACAGAGAUACAAAUAUGUUACUUCUUUGUUUCUAAGAUUUAAGCUGAUGAGAGGAAUUGUAUGUCAUUGUCAAGUUAAGCUGAAGUCAGAGGUUGGAGAGCUUAAAGUUACAUAUUCACACAGAAAAAGGCAAGUGCACAACUAAAGAUCAGAACAGAAGCUGGAAGAUGAUAGUAUCUACAGCCCAGCACUGUCCAAAUCUAAGACAACAGAACCAAAUAACUAGCAAUGACAUUUAUGAAGGUACUGAUACGCUGUUCAUAAUCAAAAGGUUAGAUGAAGAUAAGGGUUUUUUUUCCUCUUUUCGUAUAACACAGAAGUCCGAAAAUCUGCCUUUCGCUUUUCCUAUUUAAUAGUAAUCAAGCAGUUUGCUCUCCAAUAGGAGCUGCAAUCUCUCUACACAUUAGUGAGACUAGGGAGAUGAUGAGGGCAUGAUUUAGUGCCGUGGCUGAUGAGGAGAAGACUUUGUGGGCUUCAGUCAUAAUUUAAGACAGCUGAAUUGAGAAGAUUAAUGUGUGUGUGCAAGGGCUGGCACAGACCAUACUUUGGUGCUGUAACUUCUCAGAAUACGAUAGGUAGGAACAGAUCCU
rnacentral:lncRNA from 1 species